UGGGGAAUAUUGGACAAUGGGCGCAAGCCUGAUCCAGCAAUGCCGCGUGAGUGAUGAAGGCCCUCGGGUCGUAAAGCUCUUUUACCAGGGAUGAUAAUGACAGUACCUGGAGAAUAAGCUCCGGCUAACUCCGUGCC
rnacentral:rRNA from 1 species